AUACGGAGGGGGCAAGCGUUGCUCGGAAUUAUUGGGCGUAAAGGGCGCGUAGGCGGCCUGAUAAGUCAGGGGUGAAAUCCCUCGGCUCAACCGAGGAACUGCCCUUGAAACUGUCAGGCUUGAGGCCGGGAGAGGGUGGUGGAAUUCCCAGUGUAGCGGUGAAAUGCGUAGAUAUUGGGAGGAACACCAGUGGCGAAGGCGGCCACCUGGACCGGUUCUGACGCUGAGGUGCGAAAGCGUGGGGAGCAAACAGGAUUAGAAACCCCAGUAGUCC
rnacentral:rRNA from 1 species